rnacentral:rRNA from 1 species
UACGUAGGGUGCAAGCGUUGUCCGGAAUUAUUGGGCGUAAAGAGCUUGUAGGCGGUUUGUCGCGUCUGCCGUGAAAAUCCGGGGCUCAACCCCGGACUUGCGGUGGGUACGGACAGACUAGAGUGUGGUAGGGGAGAUCGGAAUUCCUGGUGUAGCGGUGAAAUGCGCAGAUAUCAGGAGGAACACCGGUGGCGAAGGCGGAUCUCUGGGCCAUUACUGGCGCUGAGGAGCGAAAGCGUGGGGAGCGAACAGG